UGAGGAAUAUUGGUCAAUGGGGGGAACCCUGAACCAGCCAUCCCGCGUGCAGGAAGACAGUUCUAUGGAUUGUAAACUGCUUUUCUUGGGGAAGAAUAAUGACGACGUGUCGUCAGAUGACGGUACCCGAGGAAUAAGGAUCGGCUAACUCCGUGCCAGCAGCCGCGGUAAUACGGAGGAUCCAAGCGUUAUCCGGAUUUAUUGGGUUUAAAGGGUGCGUAGGCUGGUUCUUAAGUCAGCUGUGAAAUACCGACGCUUACCGUCGGCACUGCAGUUGAAACUGGGAACCUUGAGAGUGCAAGAGGCAUGCGGAAUUCAUGGUGUAGCGGUGAAAUGCAUAGAUAUUACACAGAACGCCGAUUGCGAAGGCAGCUUACUAAUCCAUGACUGACGCUCAUGCACGAAAGCGUGGGUAGCAAACA
rnacentral:rRNA from 1 species